ensembl:ncRNA C05C12.10 ncRNA
AGAACUACAUUUUCGUUGGAAAUAAGUUUAGAAUAAGAAAAAUGGGUGAUUCCCGCGGGAUUCGUGAGGUCACUGAAUACAUUUUAGGAGAAGAAACACAACGACAACGAUGGAUUUUGGUUUUAAAACUCAAGAAAACUGGAGAAAAG